CCUACGGGAGGCAGCAGUGAGGAAUAUUGGUCAAUGGGCGUAAGCCUGAACCAGCCAAGCCGCGUGAGGGAUGAAGGUUCUAUGGAUCGUAAACCUCUUUUAGAGGGGAAUAAAGUGUGGGACGCGUCCUGUUUUGUAUGUACCUUAUGAAGAAGGAUCGGCUAACGACGUGCCAGCAGCCGCGGUAAUACGGAGGAUCCGAGCGUUAUCCGGAUUUAUUGGGUUUAAAGGGUGCGAAGGCGGCCCUUUAAGUCAGCGGUGAAAGUCCGUGGCUCAACCAUAGAAUUGCCGUUGAAACUGGGAGUCUUGAGUAUGGUUGAGGCAGGCGGAAUGCGUGGUGUAGCGGUGAAAUGCUUAGAUAUCACGCAGAACCCCGAUUGCGAAGGCAGAUUGCCGAGCCAUGACUGACGCUGAGGCACGAAAGCGUGGGGAUCAAACAGGAUUAGAUACCCGGGUAGUC
rnacentral:rRNA from 1 species